UACGAAGGGGGCUAGCGUUGUUCGGAAUUACUGGGCGUAAAGCGCACGUAGGCGGAUCGAUCAGUCAGGGGUGAAAUCCCAGAGCUCAACUCUGGAACUGCCUUUGAUACUGUCGAUCUGGAGUAUGGAAGAGGUGAGUGGAAUUCCGAGUGUAGAGGUGAAAUUCGUAGAUAUUCGGAGGAACACCAGUGGCGAAGGCGGCUCACUGGUCCAUUACUGACGCUGAGGUGCGAAAGCGUGGGGAGCAAACAGGAU
rnacentral:rRNA from 1 species